rnacentral:sRNA from 1 species
CAGAGACCUUGUCUCAAAAGAGUUGGUGAGCUCCUGAGGAAAAGCACUAAGGUUGUCCUUUUGCUUCCGCGUGGACUCACGGAAGCGUUUGCAGCAAGAGAAGACACACAAUGUGCAGAGGAAGCCAUGACUCUAAGGUUGCAGUUGUCUUGACUAAGCAAGGUCCAGCCUGGACCUUCAGAAAGUGGGGCCAAUGCAGUUCUCCAGGACCUGAUCUGCAAUGGCAGGCAAUGUAUCUUUAAGUACCUACCACCAGAAGAGGCAGGAACAAAUGUCCACGGGAAACCAGGCAUCCCUCAGGAAAUGUAAAUGGGUCAGGGACUCUUAAAGAAUUUAAAUGAGCAUGAAAUAGGUGUAGAGGGUUUUCUGGGCCAAUAUGCAAGCAAACUAGUAAAUAACUAUUUUCAGCACCGGGUUUGGUUGGCGGAAUUUGCAUAGACAUGUGAUGCGCUGAGUGUCUAUUUUUACCAUGCAAAUCUGCAAUCUGUAAAGAGAGCUUCGUGCCCCUUGUGGAGACUGUUGGCUGGAAAGAGCUGAUUUUCAGUGGGGCUGGAUCUGGAGUUCUCUACAAUAAGGAGUCCAGUUCUGAGAAUAACCUGAAGUGGAUGCCCAACCUCGUGCUAAUGAUUGGACUAUCAUGGACAAAGCUGAACCUGUGGACAGGAAUGCUGUCAUGUCUUCUUAGAGGGUAAAGACUGUCCCUGAAAAUUCCUAUCCACCCGGAAACUCAGAAUGGGCCUUAGUAGGCAAGAGUCUUUUCGGAUGUAAUUAGGUAAACUAAAGUAAGGCCAUAUUGGGUGUAAGUGAACCACGAAUCCAAAGACUUUGUAAGAAGAGAGAUACAGAGCUAGAGGUAAAAGAGGCAAUACCGGCCAGGAGAAGCCAAACACAAGGGACUGGGACAAAUGAUCCACCAACCGAAGUGUGCCAGUGAUUGCCAGCCACCCCUCGAGUUGGAAGUAGAGAGGAACUUGCUGGAGGGCAUGGUGACAGUGAGGUCUACAAACACCUGCAUCAACUCUAACCUCAGACACUGAGGGAGUCGCACUGCUAUUGCGUUAACUAUGGCGCCUUUAGCUAUUGUCCAGCAGCCCUUAUCAAUUCACUUAGCACGCACGUGAUGUCUUUGAAUGGUGAGAAAAUAUGAUGCCGGCAUGCUUAUCCCGUGAGAGAACUCGGCCCACAAAGCACAAAAACUAAACUCAAACUC